UACAUGUGGGGCAAGCGUUGUUCGGAAUUACUGGGCAUAAAGGGUGCGUAGGCGGCUUGUUAAGUCAGGGGUGAAAUCCCACGGCCCAACCGUGGAGCUGCCUUUGAUACUGGCGAGCUUGAGUGCGUGAGGGGUAACCGGAACGAGUAGUGUAGCGGUGAAAUGCGUAGAUAUUACUCGGAAGGCCAACGGCGAAGGCAGGUUACUGGUACGCAACUGACGCUGAGGCACGAAAGCGUGGGGAGCAAACAGG
rnacentral:rRNA from 1 species